rnacentral:rRNA from 1 species
GGGCCCGCACAAGCGGUGGAGGAUGUGGUUUAAUUCGAAGCAACGCGCAGAACCUUACCAACCCUUGACAUCCUGUGCUAUAUCCAGAGAUGGAUAGUUCCUUUCGGGGACGCAGUGACAGGUGCUGCAUGGCUGUCGUCAGCUCGUGUCGUGAGAUGUUCGGUUAAGUCCGGCAACGAGCGCAACCCACAUCCCUAGUUGCCAGCAGUUCGGCUGGGCACUCUAUGGAAACUGCCCGUGAUAAGCGGAGAAGGUGUGGAUGACGUCAAGUCCUCAUGGCCCUUACGGGUUGGGCUACACACGUGCUACAAUGGUGGUGACAAUGGGUAAUCCCAAAAGCCAUCUCAGUUCGGAUUGGGUCUGCAACUCGACCCAUCGAAGUCGGAAUC